AGCGAACGCUGGCGGCAGGCCUAACACAUGCAAGUCGAACGAACUCUUCGGAAUUAGUGGCGGACGGGUGAGUAACACGUGGGAACGUGCCUUUAGGUUCGGAAUAACUCAGGGAAACUUGUGCUAAUACCGAAUGUGCCCUUCGGGGGACAGAUUUAUCGCCUUUAGAGCGGCCCGCGUCUGAUUAGCUAGUUGGUGAGGUAAUGGCUCACCAAGGCGACGAUCAGUAGCUGGUCUGAGAGGAUGAUCAGCCACAUUGGGACUGAGACACGGCCCAAACUCCUACGGGAGGCAGCAGUAGGGAAUCUUGCGCAAUGGGCGAAAGCCUGACGCAGCCAUGCCGCGUGAAUGAUGAAGGUCUUAGGACUGUAAAAUUCUUUCACCGGGGACGAUAAUGACGGUACCCGGAGAAGAAGCCCCGGCUAACUUCGUGCCAGCCGCCGCCGUAA
rnacentral:rRNA from 1 species